UACGUAGGGUGCAAGCGUUGUCCGGACUUAUUGGGCGUAAAGAGCUCGUAGGCGGUUUGUCGCGUCUGCUGUGAAAACGCGAGGCUCAACCUCGCGCCUGCAGUGGGUACGGGCAGACUAGAGUGCGGUAGGGGAGAUUGGAACUCCUGGUGUAGCGGUGGAAUGCGCAGAUAUCAGGAGGAACACCGAUGGCGAAGGCAGAUCUCUGGGCCGUAACUGACGCUGAGGAGCGAAAGCGUGGGGAGCGAACAGG
rnacentral:rRNA from 1 species